rnacentral:tRNA from 1 species
GCCCAGGUGGCGGAAUUGGCAGACGCGCAAGGUUGAGGGCCUUGUGCCCUUCGGGGCGUGCUGGUUCGACUCCAGUCCUGGGCA